rnacentral:rRNA from 1 species
AUUGAACGCUGGCGGCAGGCCUAACACAUGCAAGUCGAGCGGAUGAGAAGAGCUUGCCCUUCGAUUCAGCGGCGGACGGGUGAGUAAUGCCCAGGAAUCUGCCUGGUAGUGGGGGACAACGUUUCGAAAGGAACGCUAAUACCGCAUACGUCCUACGGGAGCAAGCAGGGGACCUUCGGGCCUUGCGCUAUCAGCUGGGCCUGGGUCGGAUUAGCUAGUUGGUGAGGUAAUGGCUCACCAAGGCGACGAUCGGUAACUGGUCUGAGAGGAUGAGCAGUCACACUGGAACUGAGACACGGUCCAGACGCCUACGGGAGGCAGCAGUGGGGAAUAUUGGACAAUGGGCGAAAGCCUGAUCCAGCCAUGCCGCGUGUGUGAAGAAGGUCUUCGGAUUGUAAAGCACUUUAAGUUGGGAGGAAGGGCAGUAAGUUAAUACCUUGCUGUUUUGACGUUACCGACAGAAUAAGUACCGGCUAACUCUGUGCCAGCCGCCGCAGUAAAAC